AGAAACCAAGGGAACCUCUUCUAACUACCUGUGGCUCUCCAACUUCUCUACUUUAGGAACGUGUUCACCUGGAAUUUAGGAGUCACAGGUACCACUCUGGGUACAGAAAAGGAGGAGCAUCUUGCAAUUUGCACAUCACAUGAAUCUGCAUCUCCAUCUAUCCAUCUAUCUGAAAACAUCAUAAGGAAAAAGAGGCGGAUCAGACCAACUAUAGCUUGGUCUGUGCUAUAGUUUGUGGCCCAGAGUUCAUCUCUUCUCAAUCCUCUUCAACUUUAUGUGAAUAGGAACUUUGAACCCUGUAGGACGCUACUUGGUAUAUCUAGGAAAUACAGCUAUUCAGGUUACAAUUUAUUUAAUUUGUGAGUGUGCGGGUUUGUGUUAUAAGCGCACGUGUGUCAAAUAUUCCUGAGUCUUGAGAUAUAUACAUUCUAGAAGAAAAACACGUUCUUUUUUAAUACUUUUAUGGUCCUUCCUCAGCAUGCGAAGUAUCUCAUACUUGUAAGUCUUUUCGGGCCCAGCAGCACAUGCCUUUAAUACCAGUGCUAGUGAAUAGGAGACAACAGGAUAAAUAAUUCAAGGCCACCCUUUGCUACAUUGUGACUUAGAGGUCAGCCAGGGCUACAUGAGGUUGUCUCAAACAACCGAAAGAAGGGUAUGGGGAGAGCGCUUGCUGCAUGAACAUGGAGACCUGAGUUUAAAUCUGCUGCAUCACAUAAAAUCUUAGGCAUGGCUGCACAGAGAUGAAACCUCCGGUCCUUUCAUGUGUAGACAGAAGGGCUUCUCAGGCUUGCUGGCUGUCAGCCUAUUUCAAGUUCAGUGAGAGACCUUGUCUCAAGGGAAUAUGGUAGAAAGUAAUAGAAUGGGACACUGGACACUUUUCUCUGCCUUCCACCUCUAUAUACAAGCAUGGACACUCACAGAGACACGUGCACUUAUAACACACACCCACACACUCACAAAUUAAAUAAAUUAUACCCUGAAUAGCUAUAUUUUUCUAUUAUUCAUUUAAUAGAUUAUAAAGAACAAUUAUCUAUUGUUUUAAACUAUUAAUUAUAACUUUUAAAAUAUUCACAUGUCCACUUCUGAACAGCUAGACUGAGUAUAGCAUGGGAUUAACACAAGACCAAGGGAGUGUUUAAACAACCCAGUGAUGUUUAAAAAUCAGAGGGUAAAAAAACACAUGCCUUUAAAAUUUCACCCUGCACCAAUAAGAGUCAAUAAUAUAAAAUGUACGGUGGAAGAUAAUGGACCCAUUGUGUGACCUGUUGCCAACCCCUGAUGAUACAGUUUAGAAAGAUGAACUUCUUCAUUUCAAGUAGGUCACAGGUUCUCUGAGGACAAGGUCCAGCACCUUAGUCACCACCGUAUCCAUGGCGCUUUCCCUUCCUGGGAAGUAUUGAGGGAUGAAUUGACCUCUGAAAUAGUCUUCAAUUACCUGUGUAAAUAUCAGCAUAAGGCCCAGCCCUUUCCUAUUGAUUAGUCCAUUUCCUCAAAUAUAAAGUAGGGCAAAGGUUAUGUUAAUGACGAUGAGUUACGCAAGCCCUUUUGGAGAUGCUGUGGUAAAGAGUUACUCAACAAACCCAGCAAGUAGAUCUGGAGUGACUACACAUCUAUCCUCGUGUGCAGAUCUGUGGGUGUAGACAGUGUGAGAUCAUCCUCAAGUUACCUGCUGUGCUCUCCAAAGGACACAGACUGAGACUCAUGUGGGUCAUCGUUCUUUAAGAUGAACAGGCAGAAAGGGCCAUGUCCCUUUGGACCUCUAGAGUCCAGACUGUCAUCUUCUUGCAAGCCUCUUCACCUCCGCAGGACCAGGUUUGUUUGUCAAGACACAAGACCAAUCCUACCUUCAUGGAACAGCGAUGAAGCUGUCUUGUAAACCCCAAGGAUCUCUCACCAAAGCUGAAGCACAUUAUGUCAUUUAUAAUGGUUUUCCAAUAAUCUUCAGGGAUCCUCCCGUUUCUACACCCCUCCCUCCAUAACAAAGAAAUCUUCUCACAUCAAUGGUGGCGAUCCAAACUCAUGACCUCAUGCUUGCACAGUGGAUACUUCCAUCACCUGGGCCAUCCCCCAAGUCCCUGCAUUCUCACAUAUCAAAACAUGCAACAUCUUGAAGUUGCUCAGAAAGUAAUGCCUCUUACCUGACGGCCUGAAAUCAAAAGAAGAUGUGUCUUGCCAGUGAAAAGGAUGAAUCCAUGGGAGGCAGCAGAGGAGGCAGAAAAACGCCUGCAGUUUGAGUGGUACCAUCUUAGGAGCUGAGCAGUAGCUUCAGUUUGAUGUUCUUCAGAGCAGAUAAUUAAAAGAAAAGAAAUGCAAUGAACAUACUGAAGAGAACCUAAGUGCCUGCCAAUCCGUGAGCCUGAGGUCCCAUUAAUGUUUGUUAACAGUGAAACAUGUAUUGCUUAUUCAGAGAAAGCUGGCAGAAUCCUUGAUGCUAAUGGGUGGCAGAACAUGGGAAUAACAUUUCAAGACAGCUAAAUAUGAUUUUCUCUAUUUUUAACAAGAGUCUUUUGGUUAUAAGGAAAACAUGGAGUUAUUAUAAUG
rnacentral:lncRNA from 1 species